CUGGCCGUAAACGAUGGGUACUAGGUGUAGGAGGUAUCGACCCCUUCUGUGCCGGAGUUAACGCAAUAAGUACCCCGCCUGGGGAGUACGACCGCAAGGUUGAAACUCAAAGGAAUUGACGGGGGCCCGCACAAGCGGUGGAGUAUGUGGUUUAAUUCGACGCAACGCGAAGAACCUUACCAGGUCUUGACAUUGAUGGACAGAACUAGAGAUAGUUCCUCUUCUUCGGAAGCCAGAAAACAGGUGG
rnacentral:rRNA from 1 species